CUGUCUUCAACCAUUCCCUGUACCGCACAUUCGUUCCAGCCAUGACCGCCAUUCACGGCCCACCCAUCACGGCCCCAGUGGUGUGCACCCGGAAGCGCAGGCUUGAGGAUGAUGAGCGGCAGAGCAUCCCCAGUGUGCUCCAGGGCGAGGUGGCCAGGCUGGACCCCAAGUUCCUGGUAAACCUGGACCCUUCUCACUGCAGCAACAAUGGCACUGUCCACCUGAUCUGCAAGCUGGGUGAGUGUCCAGAGGGCCAGGGCUGGCGUGAGAAAGCAGGCCCUGACCGUAGCCCCAGGACUCUGCCGUCCGAGCCAGAGGGCACAGCGCCCAGAACCCACCCUGUGUUCACGCCCCACCAGGCCUC
rnacentral:sRNA from 1 species